UAGGGAAUCUUCGGCAAUGGACGAAAGUCUGACCGAGCAACGCCGCGUGAGUGAAGAAGGUUUUCGGAUCGUAAAACUCUGUUGUUAGAGAAGAACAAGGACGUUAGUAACUGAACGUCCCCUGACGGUAUCUAACCAGAAAGCCACGGCUAACUACGUGCCAGCAGCCGCGGUAAUACGUAGGUGGCAAGCGUUGUCCGGAUUUAUUGGGCGUAAAGCGAGCGCAGGCGGUUUCUUAAGUCUGAUGUGAAAGCCCCCGGCUCAACCGGGGAGGGUCAUUGGAAACUGGGGGACUUGAGUGCGGAAGAGGGGGGUGGAAUUCGAUGUGUAGCGGUGAAAUGCGUAGAUAUAGGGAGGAACACCAGUGGCGAGGGCGGCUCUCUGGUCUGUAACUGACGCUGAGGCUCGAAAGCGUGGGGAGCAAACAGG
rnacentral:rRNA from 1 species